rnacentral:misc_RNA from 1 species
GUAUAACGUUAUAUAGCAUUAUGAUAUAUCGUAUCAUGUUAUAUAGUAUUACGUUAUAUAGUAUAACGUUAUAUAGUAUUGCGAUAUAACGUAUAACGUUAUAUACUAUUACGAUACAUGGUAUAACGUUAUAUACUAUUGCGAUAUAACGUAUAACGUUAUAUAGCAUUACGAUAUAUCGUAUCAUGUUAUAUACUAUUACGACAUAACGUAUAACGUUAUAUACUAUUACGAUAUAACGUAUAACGUUAUAUACUGUUACGGUAUAACGUAUAACGUUAUAUACUAUUGCGAUUCAAGGUAUAAAGUUAUAUAGCAUUAUGAUAUAUCGUAUCAUGUUAUAUAGUAUUACGUUAUAUCGUAU